rnacentral:rRNA from 1 species
UGGGGAAUAUUGGACAAUGGGCGCAAGCCUGAUCCAGCAAUGCCGCGUGUGUGAAGAAGGCCUUCGGGUUGUAAAGCACUUUUAUCAGGAGCGAAACGCUGUCGGCUAAUACCCGGCGGAACUGACGGUACCUGAGGAAUAAGCACCGGCUAACUUCGUGCCAGCAGCCGCGGUAAUACGAAGGGUGCAAGCGUUAAUCGGAAUUACUGGGCGUAAAGCGUGCGUAGGCGGUUUCUUAAGUCUGCUGUGAAAUCCCCGGGCUCAACCUGGGAAUGGCAGUGGAUACUGGGAGGCUAGAGUGUGUCAGAGGGUGGUGGAAUUCCCGGUGUAGCGGUGAAAUGCGUAGAGAUCGGGAGGAACAUCAGUGGCGAAGGCGGCCACCUGGGACAACACUGACGCUGAGGCACGAAAGCGUGGGGAGCAAACAGGAUUAGAUACCCUGGUAGUCCACGCCCUAAAGCGAUGCGAACUGGAUGUUGGUCUCAACUCGGAGAUCAGUGUCGAAGCUAACGCGUUAAGUUCGCCGCCUGGGGAGUACGGUCGCAAGACUGAAACUCAAAGGAAUUGACGGGGUCAUAACUGUUUCC